rnacentral:rRNA from 1 species
UACAGGGGGGGCAAGCGUUGUUCGGAAUUACUGGGCGUAAAGGGCUCGUAGGCGGCCGGCUAAGUCCGACGUGAAAUCCCCAGGCUUAACCUGGGAACUGCGUCGGAUACUGGCGGGCUUGAAUCCGGGAGAGGGAUGCGGAAUUCCAGGUGUAGCGGUGAAAUGCGUAGAUAUCAGGAAGAACACCCGUGGCUAAGGCGGCUCUCUAGUACGGUACUGACGCUGAGACGCGAAAGCGUGGGGAGCGAACAGG